GAUGAACGCUGGCGGCGUGCCUAAUACAUGCAAGUCGAGCGAACGGACGUGAAGCUUGCUUCUCUGAUGUUAUCGGCGGACGGGUGAGUAACACGUGGAUAACCUACCUAUAAGACUGGGAUAACUUCGAGAAACCGUAGCUAAUACCGGAUAAUAUUUUGAACCGCAUGGUUCAAAAGUUAAAGACGGUCUUGCUGUCACUUAUAGAUGGAUCCGCGCUGCAUUAGCUAGUUGGUAAGGUAACGGCUUACCAAGGCAACGAUGCAUAGCCGACCUGAGAGGGUGAUCGGCAACGGUGGAACUGAGACACGGUCCAGACUCCGACGGGAGGCAGCAGUAGGGAAUCGUCAGCAAGGGGAGAAAGCGUGAGGGAGAAACGCCGCGUGAGUGAUGAAGGUCUUCGGAUCGUAAAACUCUGUUAUUAGGGAAGAACAUAUGUGUAAGUAACUGUGCACAUCUUGACGGUACCUAAACAGAAAGCCACGGCUAACUACGUG
rnacentral:rRNA from 1 species